GAUCAUGGCUCAGGACGAACGCUGGCGGCGUGCCUAAUACAUGCAAGUAGAACGCUGAAGGAGGAGCUUGCUCUUUCCGGAUGAGUUGCGAACGGGUGAGUAACGCGUAGGUAACCUGCCUGGUAGCGGGGGGAUAACUAUUGAAAACGAUAGCUAAUACCGCAUAACAGUAGAUAUCGCAUGAUAUUUGCUUGAAAGGUGCAAUUGCACCACUACCAGAUGG
rnacentral:rRNA from 1 species